AGCAGCAGCAGCAUUAGGAGCAGCAGGACGACGUAGUUGCUGGUUGUUGUCGUGGCUCGAGGAGCUUAGAGGAAGUCAGUCUUUGUACCUGGAAUGCUUGUAUGUACUUAAAAGUGUUAAUAGCAGCAACAUUUCUGAGGAUUAAAGUGUAGCCGGUAAGGGCAGCUAGCUCUCAUGAACAGGUGCGGCACUGCGCGUUAGCUAAACUGCUCUCCACACGUGCGCUGAGACACUGGAGUAGGUCAGCUGCAGAAAAGAAGUUCCCGUGAAGUGAGCUACCUGUGGAUGUGACUUGCAUGGCUAAACUGCUGAAAGGCAAUCAGAGUUCAGGUGAUGUAUUGACACAACUGCAUAAUAAUCAGACUGAUUUGUCUUCACUGUACUUUAAACUUAUUGCCAAAUAAAAGUGAAUUGUGAAGGA